CGCGGGGUGGGGAACGCGCCGGCCGGUAACUGGAGCCCGGGAGCCUGGUCCCCUCACUCGGUCUCUCCUUGGCCCCGUCCCUCCAGGACACACGGAGCUCUGGGGAAUGGUAACGGGACCCGGGAGCUGCUCACUGGGGAAUUGAAACCGGAUCUCAGAAAGCACACCGGAGGGAAGGGCCGGGAGCCUGCAGGGCUGCACCCUUAAAUGAGGGGAUCUAGCGAGAUUCAAGGGGAGCGCGGGAGCAGGUGCUCUGCGCCACGCCCACCGAACGCCCCGAGGGCAGGCCGCUCACAGGUAUUGAGCUGCAGCGGUGGCCCAAGGGCCUGCUUGGAGCUGGUCUGAAGCCAGCAUCGCAGCUGCCCUCUGAGCCCUGAGAUGGCAGAAGAAGAUGUAAAUGUGGUGAACAUGAAGCAUUUCCCAUUUUCAUCAAUAACCACCAGUCAAAUUGGGAAGUCCUGAGAAAAGGAGCAGGACGAAAAUGAAAUAAACCUCCAGAUACAGUGGAAAAGAGGUUAUGUCUACAUGAAGAAAUGUGCUAAGAAGACUAUAAAUUUCUAAAACUUUUCUAUCACCUCAAGCAGAAACUCUGUAACCACUUUCCAAAAAGUGUUCUUAAGACUUUGCAGUGUCCCAAGAGUGACAAAUUCAUGGCAAAUUUUGACUGUUUUGUCAAAGCUGGUCAAACAGCGCAAAGUUUCCUUUCUGAAGACCUCCUGCAGCUGACACAGAAAGGUAGUAACCUGACAGCUUGGAUGGAGCACCAUGCCCAGCAUCACACAAGUAGUGAGGAGCAGUUAUGGAAAUUUGAGAACUAUGUAAGAGGUGGAAAAAGAAAUGGAGGUACAAACCAUGUAUAAGCCAAAGAGACAGCUUCUACUUAUUUCUUCACUGCUCAGAGAAAAAUAUUAUCCAAGAUCAAUGGAGUAGGCACUUGCAAUGACAGAAUUCUGUCAAUACCAACUGGUGGAGUGUAUUCUAUUUGCUUGUCAAUGCACUUUUUGAUAACCAGAGGCUUUGGCUGUGCAUAUACAAUGGCAAAUAAAAAGCUCAUUUCAAACAGACAGGGGCUUCCAAACAUCUCAAUAUUUUUCAUAAUGUGUGAAAAAUAAGGUUUUUUGUUAGUGUCUUUCUCACAUUUUAUCAGAAAGUUUUAGCAUUGUGACAACAAUUCCUGAAUGUAUAUCGUGUGUCUUAAAUAGCUUGCAUACAUUAAAUAUUCCACUUGAAGUCUGUAUUGCAGGCUGGAUUUUCCUUAUUCCUGGCAUUAUGGUACUAAUGAGAGUAGCUAUAGCUAGAUGUUUUAAGUAACUAGAAGUAAAAGGUAAAAGGCAGGUGUUUGGAACACAAUUAAACCACUUAAA